CAAAUAAAGCCCAACUGAAAUCUAGGUUUCCAAGUUUCCAAUCAUAAGAGCUCAAAGGCAGGGUUUCUCCCUGUCUCGCUAGUUGCAGCUGCUGAAAUCCCGAACACAGUUCCUCCGUGAGGAAGAGAAGCAGGAAUGGCGAAGUCAAAGAAUCACACAGCUCACAACCAGUCCUACAAGGCGCACAAGAAUGGCAUCAAGAAGCCCAGAAAGCACCGUCACACAUCCACCAAAGGGAUGGACCCUAAGUUCUUGAGGAACCAAAGGUAUGCUAGGAAGCACAACAACAAGAGCGGUGAAGCUGGAAGCGGAGAGGAGUAGAUCUUGUUUGUGUUUAGGUUAAAUACACCUUGAUUUUGGAAUGUUGGGAUUCUACUUGUUGUUUUUGAGCUAGUGCCAAAACUUGGUUACUAUUAUUAUGUUUUGACAUAACCUAUUAAGUUUUUGCCUUUAUUGAGGAUUGUUCCCUUUCCAGUUGUUCA